UAAAUUCCCUGGUAAUAAUUACUUUACCCCGCGUCACCACAUAAAACUAAUACCGUCCGAAUAGGGCUUUUUUUAGCUAAUUGGUGUUCUCCAGAGGUUCA